GAUGAACGCUGGCGGCGUGCCUAAUACAUGCAAGUCGAGCGGUAACACUUCGGGUGACGAGCGGCGGACGGCUGAGUAACGCGUAGGAACGUACCCCAAACUGAGGGAUAAGCACCAGAAAUGGUGUCUAAUACCGCAUAUGGUCUUCGGAUUAAAGCUUCGGCGGUUUGGGAACGGCCUGCGUAUGAUUAGCUUGUUGGUGAGGUAAAAGCUCACCAAGGCGACGAUCAUUAGCUGGUCUGAGAGGAUGAUCAGCCAGACUGGGACUGAGACACGGCCCAGACUCCUACGGGAGGCAGCAGUAGGGAAUCUUCCACAAUGGGCGAAAGCCUGAUGGAGCAACGCCGCGUGCAGGAUGAAAGCCUUCGGGUCGUAAACUGCUUUUAUAUGCGAAGACUUCGACGGUAGCAUAUGAAUAAGGAUCGGCUAACUCCGUGCCAGCAGCCGCGGUCAUACGGAGGAUCCAAGCGUUAUCCGGAAUUACGU
rnacentral:rRNA from 1 species